AUACUUACCUUGUUUGGGCGGGUGCGAUCAUCGAGGCAUCCAGCCGUGGAAGGACCCCUACAUUGCACAGCGUGGCGAGUCCGGCCGCUCAACAUCCUUCGGGAUUUUGACAAGCGUUAUUUUUGGCUCUUCUCUGGGGGAUA
rnacentral:snRNA from 16 species